rnacentral:rRNA from 1 species
CCUACGGGAGGCAUCAGUGGGGAAUAUUGGACAAUGGGGGGAGCCCUGAUCCAGCCAUGCCGCGUGUGUGAAGAAGGCCUUUUGGUUGUAAAGCACUUUAAGCGAGGAGGAGGCUUACCUGGUUAAUACCUGGGCUAAGUGGACGUUACUCGCAGAAUAAGCACCGGCUAACUCUGUGCCAGCAGCCGCGGUAAUACAGAGGGUGCGAGCGUUAAUCGGGUUUACUGGGCGUAAAGCGCGCGUAGGUGGUUAAUUAAGUCAAAUGUGAAAUCCCCGAGCUUAACUUGGGAAUUGCAUUCGAUACUGGUUAGCUAGAGUAUGGGAGAGGAUGGUAGAAUUCCAGGUGUAGCGGUGAAAUGCGUAGAGAUCUGGAGGAAUACCGGUGGCGAAGGCAGCCAUCUGGCCUAAUACUGACACUGAGGUGCGAAAGCAUGGGGAGCAAACAGGAUUAGAUACCCCUGUAGUC